rnacentral:rRNA from 1 species
GAUGAACGCUAGCGGCAGGCCUAACACAUGCAAGUCGAGGGGCAGCACGUCUUCGGAUGGUGGCGACCGGCGCACGGGUGCGUAACGCGUAUGCAACCUACCUCUUACAGUGGGAUAGCCCAGAGAAAUUUGGAUUAAUACCGCAUAGUAUACAGAUUCAGCAUUGGGACUGUAUUAAACAUUUAUGGGUAAGAGAUGGGCAUGCGUUCUAUUAGUUAGUUGGAGUGGUAACGGCACCCCAAGACAGCGAUAGAUAGGGGCCCUGAGAGGGGGAUCCCCCGACACUGGUACUGAGACACGGACCAGACUCCUACGGGAGGCAGCAGUGAGGAAUAUUGGACAAUGGGCGAGAGCCUGAUCCAGCCAUGCCGCGUGCAGGAGACGGCCCUAUGGGUUGUAAACUGC